rnacentral:rRNA from 1 species
UACGUAGGGGGCAAGCGUUGUCCGGAAUCAUUGGGCGUAAAGAGCGUGUAGGCGGCCCGAUAAGUCCGCUGUGAAAGCCCAGGGCUCAACCCUGGAAUUGCCUUCGAUACUGUCUGGCUAGAGACCGGAAGAGGUAAGUGGAACUGCGAGUGUAGAGGUGAAAUUCGUAGAUAUUCGCAAGAACACCAGUGGCGAAGGCGGCUUACUGGUCCGGUUCUGACGCUGAGGCGCGAAAGCGUGGGGAGCAAACAGG